rnacentral:rRNA from 1 species
UCGAUUCCCUUAGUAGCGGCGAGCGAAACGGGAAGAGCCCAAACCAACAAGCUUGCUUGUUGGGGUUGUAGGACACUCUAUACGGAGUUACAAAGGACGACAUUAGACGAAUCAUCUGGAAAGAUGAAUCAAAGAAGGUAAUAAUCCUGUAGUCGAAAAUGUUGUCUCUCUUGAGUGGAUCCUGAGUACGACGGAGCACGUGAAAUUCCGUCGGAAUCUGGGAGGACCAUCUCCUAAGGCUAAAUACUCUCUAGUGACCGAUAGUGAACCAGUACCGUGAGGGAAAGGUGAAAAGCACCCCGGAAGGGGAGUGAAAUAGAACCUGAAACCGUGUGCUUACAAGUAGUCAGAGCCCGUUAAUGGGUGAUGGCGUGCCUUUUGUAGAAUGAACCGGCGAGUUACGAUUUGAUGCAAGGUUAAGCAGUAAAUGUGGAGCCGUAGCGAAAGCGAGUCUGAAUAGGGCGUUUAGUAUUUGGUCGUAGACCCGAAACCAGGUGAUCUACCCUUGGUCAGGUUGAAGUUCAGGUAACACUGAAUGGAGGACCGAACCGACUUACGUUGAAAAGUGAGCGGAUGAACUGAGGGUAGCGGAGAAAUUCCAAUCGAACCUGGAGAUAGCUGGUUCUCUCCGAAAUAGCUUUAGGGCUAGCCUCAAGUGAUGAUUAUUGGAGGUAGAGCACUGUUUGGACGAGGGGCCCCUCUCGGGUUACCGAAUUCAGACAAACUCCGAAUGCCAAUUAAUUUAACUUGGGAGUCAGAACAUGGGUGAUAAGGUCCGUGUUCGAAAGGGAAACAGCCCAGACCACCAGCUAAGGUCCCAAAAUAUAUGUUAAGUGGAAAAGGAUGUGGCGUUGCCCAGACAACUAGGAUGUUGGCUUAGAAGCAGCCAUCAUUUAAAGAGUGCGUAAUAGCUCACUAGUCGAGUGACACUGCGCCGAAAAUGUACCGGGGCUAAACAUAUUACCGAAGCUGUGGAUUGUCCUUUGGACAAUGGUAGGAGAGCGUUCUAAGGGCGUUGAAGCAUGAUCGUAAGGACAUGUGGAGCGCUUAGAAGUGAGAAUGCCGGUGUGAGUAGCGAAAGACGGGUGAGAAUCCCGUCCACCGAUUGACUAAGGUUUCCAGAGGAAGGCUCGUCCGCUCUGGGUUAGUCGGGUCCUAAGCUGAGGCCGACAGGCGUAGGCGAUGGAUAACAGGUUGAUAUUCCUGUACCACCUAUAAUCGUUUUAAUCGAUGGGGGGACGCAGUAGGAUAGGC